ACUCAAAUGAAUAGACGGGGGCCCGCACAAGCGGCGGAGCAUGUGGCUUAAUUCGACGCAACGCGAAGAACCUUACCAAGGCUUGACAUACACCGGAAAACCCUGGAGACAGGGUCCCCCUUGUGGUCGGUGUACAGGUGGUGCAUGGCUGUCGUCAGCUCGUGUCGUGAGAUGUUGGGUUAAGUCCCGCAACGAGCGCAACCCUUGUUCUGUGUUGCCAGCAUGCCCUUCGGGGUGAUGGGGACUCACAGGAGACCGCCGGGGUCAACUCGGAGGAAGGUGGGGACGACGUCAAGUCAUCAUGCCCCUUAUGUCUUGGGCUGCACACGUGCUACAAUGGCCGGUACAAAGAGCUGCGAUACCGUGAGGUGGAGCGAAUCUCAAAAAGCCGGUCUCAGUUCGGAUUGGGGUCUGCAACUCGACCCCAUGAAGUCGGAGUCGCUAGUAAUCGCAGAUCAGCAUUGCUGCGGUGAAUACGUUCCCGGGCCUUGUACACACCGCCCGU
rnacentral:rRNA from 1 species